AUAUUAUGUGCAGUGGGACAUGACCAGCCGCCAAAGUAUUGGGAUGUGAAGAAGAGCUGAUGCUGCUGCUGAGCCAAGCUCCAAACGGGGCUCUCUCCGCCAAGAGAUGCCCCUCCUCCUCCUCUUCCUCUCCCUUCCUUCCCUUCUCCAAGCCCAAUCCAACUCUCUUCUCCAAAACCCGCCCCCGCUUCCCCUCCCGGAACCCUAGACAACGGCCCCUCCACCUCUCCCUCUCCACCGCCGACGGCGCCGGCGAACCCGGCCCCUCCGGCCGCCCCCUCUCCUCCCCCUCCUUCCCCUCCCCGCCGGAGGACGAGACUGUCUCCGUCGGUGAUGACGGCGUCCCCCUCGAAGGCGUCAUCCAGUUCGAGAAGCCCGAGGCUUCCAACAAGCUCGUCUCUUGGGCACAGGUGGGUCUUUUGGCCGGAGGGGAUGUACUGUGCCUUCUUAUCUUCUCAGCGGUUGGGAGGUUCAGCCAUGGACUCCCUGUUCUCGAUGUGGAGACCUUGCGGACUGCCGACCCUUUCGUUGCUGGGUGGAUAUUGAGCGCCUACUUUUUAGGAGGUUAUGGGGAUGAUGGAAAGGGACUGAAUGGUUCGAGAACAGCUAUUAUUGCUGCUGCCAAGUCUUGGGCGCUGGGAAUACCGUUAGGACUUGUCAUCAGGACAGCAACAUCAGGACAUAUUCCACCAACUGCAUUCAUCUUGAUGGCUAUGGGAAGUACAGGUAUCUUGCUGAUUGCAUGGCGAGCUCUGGUCAGCAAUCUUCUUUCUAAUAGAGAAAGCAAGCAAAAUGAUGUAUACAGGCGUGGGAGCCCGUUUGAACUUUUUGAGUUGCUUACAUCUUUGGUUCGGAGGUGGUGAUUUUGAGCCUUUCGUCAAUUGCCAAGCUAUGGUUUCUAUUGCUCCUUCAUAUCCAUUUACUACCACCUGCUGUAGUCAUGAUCCAUAGCUAACUCAAUUGGAUUCAGAAAUGUUGUCUUUGGUCACUGUCACGGCUUGCUAAUAACAUAGAACCAUGGUCGGUUCAAGUCUGAAUGUCUCAUUGCUGAAAGCCGGAAUUGGGAUUCCCAGCCGAGAAGGAUUGCUACUUAUGCAACUAUCACAACUCAGCGUGUCACACAAAAAAAUUAGUCAGAAAAUAUUUAUUUAAAUUUUUUGAUCCUAUAUAAAUAUUCAAGAUCUAUUCAAUAUAUAAAUACUGUGGGAUUAAUUCUUGCAACUACUGUUUUAGCUUGUUGAACCCAAAAAAAGGGUUGUUUGUGGAUCUUCUAACAAAUAAAGCCAUGGCGUUUUUUUUA